CUACGUAGGGGGCGAGCGUUGUCCGGAAUGAUUGGGCGUAAAGGGCGCGUAGGCGGCGCGGUAAGUCUGGAGUGAAAGUCCUGCUUUCAAGGUGGGAAUUGCUUUGGAUACUGCCGCGCUUGAGUGCAGGAGAGGGUAUCGGAAUUCCCGGUGUAGCGGUGAAGUGCGUAGAGAUCGGGAGGAACACCAGUGGCGAAGGCGGGUAACUGGACUGCAACUGACGCUGAGGCGCGAAAGUGUGGGGAGCAAACAGGAUUAGAUACCCUGGUAGUCCACACUGUAAACGAUGAAUGCUAGGUGUAAGAGGUAUCGACCCCUUUUGUGCCGGAGUCAACACAAUAAGCAUUCCGCCUGGGGAGUACGGCCGCAAGGUUGAAACUCAAAUGAAUUGACGGGG
rnacentral:rRNA from 1 species